UACGGAGGGUGCAAGCGUUAAUCGGAAUUACUGGGCGUAAAGCGUGCGCAGGCGGUUUGUUAAGUCCGUUGUGAAAGCCCCGAGCUCAGCUUGGGAAUUGCAGUGGAUACUGGCAGGCUGGAGUACGGUAGAGGAAGGUGGAAUUCCCGGUGUAGCAGUGAAAUGCGUAGAUAUCGGGAGGAACACCAGUGGCGAAGGCGGCCUUCUGGACCAGUACUGACGCUCAUGCACGAAAGCGUGGGGAGCAAACAGG
rnacentral:rRNA from 1 species